CGGUGGAUUUAUUCCGUUCAACGCAGCUGAAAACACAGAAGGCUGGUGGCGAUGGGAGCCAGCACUUUUUUCACUCGUAGGUGGGCCAACCUUUGCCACCCAGACAGGGUUUGGGGACCCUGCGCCCCCUUCAUAGGGUUUUGGUUGCAUCCCACCACUGAAAUGCUGCCGGGGCCGAGCACGGCUCAGGGUGACGGUCAGCUGAGGGUGAGCGACUUGGGACUGGCUGAUGGGGUAUUGCAAACUGGGGAAAAGCUUAUUUUUCCUCACCUCCUGCUUAUCUGGCCACCCUAUGGCUGCUCCAUCACGGCCACAGCUGCCCUUCCUCCUCCUCCUCUGGCAGCCCCAGGUCCUUUCUCCCAUUUGAGCUUCCCUGGGGUGGGGGGGGGGUCAUUUUAGAAAAAAAAAAAAAAAAAUAUUCACCCUUCAUAAACGUCCCUAUCUCAGAGCCAAGAAGCAGAAAGCGGGCAUCAUGAUGAAAAGAGCAGGGUGGGGGGUGUACUAAAAGCAUCACCCAUGCCUCUGAGGUCGCUGGCGGAGAGGGGAUCACUCAUUUUCGGGACAACAACACAGCAGCAACGUCCCCACCCCGGCCAAGGACAUAGGGCAGCUCUGCAAAAUAGUAAUUAAACACUAAUAAUCUGCCCCUCUGAUCUCUGGCACCUCUUGAGCCAGGAAGGACCUGGCAAGCGCCUCUGUGACUAACGGAAAAUCCUUGGGAUGCUGCCAUUCCCCCCACAAACAGGCUGGGUGAAGGGAAGAGAAAAAAUUAUGACUGUUUUGGGUAAAUUGCAGGGACUGAAGGCUGGGAGGAACAUCAGGGGCCGGCCAAACCAGCCCUCACCGAAGCAGCACCAAGCACCCCUGGCUGGACAGCUAAACACCACCUGAGCACGUCUGAGGAAGGAGCUGUAUUCAGAGGCUGAGCUGAGGGAAAAAUUACACCACUUUUUCUGGAAGGACAGGAGGUUUGUGCAAGCUUUCCCAGCAAAUCUCAGCCUGCUCCGGUCUUCAUUCACCAGCACAGACACUGCAAAGAGCUCCUGGCACGGUGAGUAUGCCACUCCUGCCCUCUCUGCUGAAAGGAACCAAAAUAUGGAUACGUGCAACGAUGGACCAAGCGACGUUUCUGUGACAAGGCCACCUUCUGCCUGGGAUAUUUUCACUUUUAGGCAGAGUAUCGCAUGACGAUGGCUCCUAAGCAUGGUAACAAGUGUCACCUCCUUGAGGUGACCCCAAGGUGGCAGGUUCACUCUUCCUUUGCUGCCUUGUCCAACUGCACGUGGAGAGAUGGCACCUCCAGUAAGUGCCCCCAGUUUCGCUCUGUUGUCUAAAACGUUGCAAAAUGAGAACCUUUUCUUCUUUUACUUAUGGGCAAACCCCACUGGCUUUGGCUAAAAUCUCCCUGGAGUCAACUGGUGGUAUCACCUAACCAUCCACAAGCUUUCAAUCUUGCACACCGUUGCCCCAAAGAAUUAAUCUCCUCUGAAGCUGAUCUGCAGUUCUUUUCCACCGUCUCUGCAUAUUUCACUCCUCACAAGACGAUGCUAACAGCCCUUCUCCAGCACUGCCUAUUUACAUGAGAGAUUUUUCCAUCCAUAAUUCACAUUGCUGGGUGACUGAAGAUGCCUAAAAGUUAUUUAAUCUCUGCAUUAAAAUACAUAUAUAUAUAUAUAUCUCUGCAGUAUCUUCCGAUCUAAAUCCAAGUUGCUCACGCUAAGCAAGCCCUACAUCAUUAAAAGGAGUGCGUUAAAACGGCGAGACCGAGCUGAAAAGCUAAAUCCAGGGCAGUGGGAGCCUUUCCACUGACUUUUGCCAGCAAUGAAGCCAGCACAAUAAAUAAGAUCAAACACACCCGCAGCUCUCAGCCAGCCCAGCGGGACAGAGAUCUCCUGGUGGUCCCACGUCACCUUCUGGCUCUCCCCAUGCAGAAAUGUUCACAUCAUCCAGGCUUUGCUCAGACAACCCCAAGCAUCUGCUGCCUUAGAGUCUAAUGAAUGCAGGGGACCCACUUGAGUUCCCUAAAUUAUGACCUGGCUCCCAGUGACACAGACUGAUUUAAUUCUCACCGCUUUGCACCGCGGUUAGAAAAUUACUGAUAGCUCGUUAUCUGUCUUAAUCAGGAGCAGCAAACAAAUGAGGGACAGGGAAACAUCCAGAAGGGAAUACACCGCAUUACUCCUCCUUAUUGAUAGCACAGUUACUUAAUUUGAUGUGGAGACAUAACUUCAGGCAUCACUAAAUACUGGAGCAGGAAUGUUUUGGUGCAAGGAAGAUCUAUGGAUGCAAUUUAAAAGCAGUCUGUUUAGGAGUGGUGACAUCUACCAGCGCUGAUACAGAUCUGAGCUGAGUGGACAGACUUGAGAUUAUCACUCAGCAAGUCAAAUAAAGACAGCGGCUCUUCGACAGUUAAAAAGCACCCGCCGAAAAUUGCAGCCCCGCUUCUCUCUUCAUCAGCCGUGCGUGUGGGAUGAGCGUGACGAUGGGGGACCCAGCCCAAGGUUGAUGGUCACCUCCAACCUGCCCAUCCCCGGGCAGCACCGUCAUCUGCCUUCUGAGACACGGCGCUGCCCGCGUCGAGGCCCCAGAGCGGACACGGGGCACGGCUCGCUGCGGGGAAGGCAGCACGGAGGUGGUGGAGAAAAACGCCUGUUCCAGUACAGGCAUCUGCAGAAAACAGGUCAGCCACGAGCGGUGACAAUGACUGACAGCCGACACCGACGCCGGCGGGUACGAGGGGGAUGCCAAACUGGGCAGUUCCCAGGGCUGCAGCCCAGAAGGAGCAGAAUUUUUCCUCCAGCAGGAAUAUUGCGGAUUGAGAUACGAUAAUAAACUACCGGGAGUCUCAACCGUGAGAACAAAUCUUUUUAAUCAGUUUUUAACAAUCCAAGACUACUGUAAAUAAUCUAAUAAAACUGAUCUGCGCACGCUAAAGAAAAGAGGGCAAGUGGUACAUUUCCUGCUGCUUCCGAUUAAGGGUAUUUGCCCCAAGCCUGUGCAUCCAGCCUGUUUCUGAUCCCAAGUGCACCAAAAUCAAAGCUGGGAGCACAUCUGAGCGCACUUCGAACUGCCCACAAAACCUCCACCCCCCAGUCUCCCCAUUUUAUUGGGUUUCUAAUCCAACAGUGGGUUACGGACUGCUGACCAGCAGGGUUAGUCGCAGUGCAAAUUAAUAGCUACUACCAAAUUCGUAAUCGUAAACUCUGCUGACUGAAUAACACACCCGAACCGAGGGCAGCAUUGAAGUUGAACCACCGGCACCGAAGUCACGGCGGAGCCGACGCGCGGUGUGUCUCAGGAUCAGCAGGAGAGAAAAUUGCAGGACUACAGAGAUAGCCUCAAAUACAGGGGUUUCCUCACCUCUUUUAAUACAAAAUGCAGGCUGGCAUUUUCAAAGUCACCUAUGGGAUUUACACACUCCUCCAUUUUAAAAGGAUCUACGUGUGCAAAUGCCUUAAUCAGCACUGAAAAGUUUAGCUUAUGGUAAAAAGCCCUCACAGGCGAGGUCCUCGGCAUUGCACAGGCAGAUACUGUGCAUAUAAAAGAGCUUUUCUAAACCAGAUUUUUACUGUGUACAUUCAAGGUUGAAGAAGGAAAACAGUAACACCUCAGAGACAGCAGUAACCAUCCAUUAAGUGAGAAAUGCAUGUUUCAACAUUUACCUGACUGAACAAAAAGGAUUUGCUCUUAAAAAAUCUCUUCGCAGACAGCAUAAAGCUUUGGGAGAAUACCUUAAAAUUUUUGUUUUGUUUUGUUUUGUUUUUUAAAUAUAGGUAGAUUUUAAUUGCAGGCCAUGGAAGCUACUCCUAGGUCAUUAUAACCUUUCAGGUAAGUAAUAGGUUUUUUAAAAAGUUGUCUAAAUAGGUAUUUCCUAAAAUGAACUCCAACAGCACUGAAGGUACAUUAGUUCCUUUAGCGGUUCAAACAUGGCAAAUAAAGUGAGGUGGGUUGGUUUUUUUUUUUUUUUGAGCUGGUAUUAAAUAAGUUAAUUUAAAAAUAAUCGGUUCACAAAACUGCCAAUAAAUACCGCAUCAGCUAACAAUGUUACUAGUAAAAUCAACAGCCAAACGGAGGAAAAGUUGGACCUUCCAGAGAUGAAACCUUUAGGUGAAGAAAUAUAGAUCCAGGGGGUAUAUAUCUCUAUCUGUCUAUCUAUAUAGAGUGUUCCACUGAGUUUCUGCUGCCUUCACCUCGCCAGCUCUGGUCCCAAGAGCAGCCACAGGACAGUGCAUGCGGUGGGACAGGCUCGGUCCAGGUGAUCGUGCCCUUAUAGCCGCUGCUUCCCAGGUCACCCAAGAUGGGAAUUGGGACGCAGAGCAGCAAACCCGGCCGGGGACUUGGCUGCCUGUUCAUCCUGCCCACUGCAGUGGUGCUGGGGCACCUCCCAAGGCACCGUCCUCGGGCACCAGCACGGAGCAGCAGCUCCAGCCAGCAGCAACAGCUCUUUGGCCACGCGGACACGGAGGGGCACCCUUAUCUCGGGAAGCAAGUGGCAAAAGAGCCCUCGACUGCCAAAGCGCCAGGUCUUUGCUCUCUGCCUGGGUAUCUCCAUUCAAAGGCGAAGGUUAACAACGAAAGAAUAACAACCGGGACUUUUUCUCUGGGUCUUUUGAGCUUUUAGCCAACUUACUCACCUCUUGGUUGUGCUCGGUGUGAAAAUUUAACGAUUUUUAUGGCCCAUUUUAACAUUUUUAUAUCUUUUUCCCUCAGAAAAAAACCCCGUAUUUUGUGUAAGAAUUAAAACAGUAUUUCAUUCUUAACUGCAAUCACAGAUGAUGUAUGGAAGAGAGCUGGCUGCACGUCAACUCAGUAUAAAGCCAGAAUUUAAUCUAACUUGGUCACUACAGCUGUGCAUGAUGUUUUAUGGCGUGGGGUUUUUUUCAUAUCAGUCAUAAAUGAAGUGGAAACUGUGACAGUGCUAAUUUUGUAUAAAACAGGAGGGGGAAAAAAAAAAAUGCAAAACCGGUGGGAGCUGGGGGGAAGAACCAGGAUUACUAUACACGAUCUGAGGAGUUGUGCACUUAAAUGUGAAGUCUACUGAAAAUCCAGCCCAACCCAUCGUUGGUUGGCUAACGGAACUAUGGUGCACGGUGACGGUCGCACCGCCGUGCACACCGGUGGCGGCAAUGGUUGCCUGUUGGUAUGAGUAAACCUCUGCACAAACCCCUUGCCAACGGGAAGAAGGGCUUCUUUAGCUGCAGGACACCACACCCUCAGGAUGAACCUUCAGCUCCUUUCUGAAAAAUAGAGCUGCAUCGCAAUCUAGAUGACUGUGUGAACGUCUCAAUUGGUAGGAAAAUGCCUUUCUGCCUUUCUGCCAUCGUGAGAUGCUUUGAGGGCAUCAGCAUGGUCCCAAUUUUUUUUUUUUUUCCCCACCCGGCAAUGGAUUUUUCUGACUAAUGUUUUGAACAUGGGAUCAUGUUAGAAACGGAGCUUCAAAGCAAAGCAAAAACUUUUCAUGUAAGAAGAGAGCUGCUGCUGAAACCAUUUUUUUCUACUCUCACCUCAUGUUUAAGUUGUUGGGUUUUCUGCUGCCGAUUUUGAGCACAACCCAAUUUCCACACAGCAAGCCCAUCUCCUGCCAUCUUCACCACCAUUCCCAUCCAGCUGGCCUCCAUGGUCUUCACCACCACUCCCCAGCCUCCUGGCCUCCACAACGACCGACGCAGAAAUGACUGGCCACGGGCAGGCAAGUCCCAAGUGAAAGGUGAAUUUAAUGAACAUACACGUGUAUAAAAGCUAAAUGUCUGAGUCAGUCACCAAAGGUUCCCCUCCCAGUUGAAGGAUCGCCUCUUCUGGAGGACGUUUAACAGAGCCAAGUGGCACCGGCCUUUGGAUUUGCCUUUUUUUCAGCCGUAUGAAUUCAGGUCGGGCUGCAGAGGCAGAGCUCCCACUUCUAUGCAUAUCUGUACAAAUGAUUGAUUACCCAGAGAAAGGGAAUAACCACAAUGGCAGAAGCAUAAUGCCUUCAUUUGUUUGGGGAAUUUAAUUACCUGCCUGGGACACAGAGAAGGAAACUCAAGAAAACAUCUCUCUGACCCCACCCCAGGCAGCUGAAAAGCUCGGUGUUAGAGAGACAAGACAUGGGACUGCUGGGCUGAAAUCCCCUUCUGCUGGGACCUGCCCCGAUUUCUCCGACAGCUGCGGGGGGAAGGAACUGCAGGAGAGAGUGGCAAAGUGAUGGAUGACGACUUCCAAAUGCAUUUCCCCAUUCCUGAGUGUUUCCACACUCUAGCAAGUAUUCCCUGCCUUAUUUGUCCUGCGUUCAUUUUGUCCUUUAGAAAUUUUUUUAAAGCCAGAAGACGCAUUUAGACAGAACAGCUACUGACCUGAUAGAAGUUAAUGAUUUUAUAAAUCGCCUAAAAAAUGCUUUACUUUAAAAGAUUGAUGUUUCCUAUUGUAUUUUUUCAAUGCCAAUUAAUUACUUAAUUCAUUAGCAAUGUAACACAAGAAUAGUCUUUGAAAAUCUGGUACUUUGUGUAGAUGCCUUUAAUUAUGGUUAAUUAAAUACUGUGGAAGGACCUGAUUA